CUUGCGCGCUUUUCUCCUCUCUCUGUCUUUCCCCCCCCCUCCGUCUCUGGCAAGGAAAAGAGCAGAGGACUGCCCCCUCCCCUUGGGGUGUGUGUGGCCUUUGGCCACGCCCCCUGGGAAUCCCGGCCAGCACGUCAUCGCCAGCUAGCCAAUCGGGUGGCUGGGGGCAUGGCCGGGGGCGUGGCCGGAUCCCUUUAGCGAGCGGAGAGGCUGGGGAAAAUGCUUUGCUUGUGCCUCUACUCGCGGUAAGCAGGGGGCGUGUUUCGGCCCCCUGCUGCAGCCUAUCCCUGCUGCCCUGCAGAGGCUCUUGGCUGGCCUAUAGGGCCAGCUGGGGGGCGGGGUUUUACUACAUUUUGGCCGGCGCGGCAGCAUUCAAACCCUUUUUCUGCUGCUGCACCACAUCGGAUUUCCAUCGUUACCUGCCUUCGGAGGGAUUUUUCUGCAGCCUCUGCUGAGCCUCAUUACCUUCCUGCUUCUCUCCUGGUGACACACGACCUGAGUUAUGCUCGGUUUUUUGGCAAAAUUUGACACACCAAGCUCAAAAGGUUGCCCAUCACUGCUCUAGACCCUUGCCUCCAGUCCUCCAGACCCGCACAGGAGAUCGUGCCCUCUGCCUGGCUGUACCCUGCCUCCACCAG